CUCUGUUAGCUCAAGCCUGCAAGGCAAGGUGGGAAAUGGCUUAAGAUAUCUUUAUGAGGGCAGCCAGGGAAAGAGCGGCUGUAGCUACGGUCUGUCACCCAGGCAGGAAACUGACAUUUUAUUCUGAAGGCAAAUACACCUGUCACAGGACAGAGCAAAAGGUAUGCUCAGGCCAACACCCUAAAAUCUACAGAGACACCAUCCCAAAUUAAUUCUCCAGGUUGCAGCUGCAUGAUCUUGCUAAAGAAGUGCAUUUUCUACCUGUAAGACUUGGGCCUGCAAUCUGAUUAAAUAUGACUCCAAAACACCUAACUGUAGACAGCAAUCAGG